rnacentral:rRNA from 1 species
CUGAUGGCGACCGGCGCACGGGUGAGUAACACGUAUCCAACCUGCCGAUAACUCGGGGAUAGCCUUUCGAAAGAAAGAUUAAUACCCGAUGGUAUAAUUAGACCGCAUGGUCUUGUUAUUAAAGAAUUUCGGUUAUCGAUGGGGAUGCGUUCCAUUAGGCAGUUGGUGAGGUAACGGCUCACCAAACCUUCGAUGGAUAGGGGUUCUGAGAGGAAGGUCCCCCACAUUGGAACUGAGACACGGUCCAA